rnacentral:lncRNA from 1 species
UGAGUCGCGCUCAACUGAAUCGCGCUCGCAAUGCCGUGGAAAUCACCAGGGAUCUCGUGCGUUCCUGGCCAUGGCGUGCCCCAGAUUUCGGAUCCAGCUAUAAAGCCGUGCUCCUAGACUCCCUCCUCUUCUUCCUCUUUCGCCAACGGCACCAUAGAAGUGAAAGCAGAUGAGUGAGCCAGCUAGCGCCGUCGUUGACUCGCGUGCCCGUCGUGCCGCCGCACCGCAUUUGGUGCCCACCGCGGUCGGGUGUCCGUGUGGAGGUCGCGGGAAUCGCCAGUAGGCAGGGAUCGCUCUCGCACGGGACCUAGCGCUGGAGGUCAGCCGUGGUGGGCGAAUUGGCCGUCGGAGUUGGGGAAGAGGGCCGCGGAUACAAGCCUCGCCGCCGAGACCACUGACCAUCUCCUAUGCGGUAAGAACUCUAUCAUCUUGCUCGAAUCGCCCAUAGUAUCGUAUCGCGCCGCGUGUGACCGUGUAGAGAACUUGGGGGCUGGGAAUUGGUUGCCGUGAUGGCUUCGGCAUCUGGGGACCGCACCAUCGCGGUGACUGGAGCACUUGGAGCUCAAUUAGUGAAAUUGAGCUUACGAUUAGAGUCGUCGUGAACUGCGCAUUGUGUUGGUACCCUCGGGUGCGCUUAUGGGGCAUCGGAACACCAAAUGGCAUGCUCGCCGGCGUUCGGCCGCCGCGGGAGGGCGGCGCCGCCACGCGGAUGGCCCAGGAAGGGGAGAGAUGAGCUCGAACCGGCGAUAUCGUUACGGAGGGCUAGGAUUAGUUAAUGUGUGCCCCCCUUCAUGCGAUCAUAUCGCGACCGUUGGAUCGCUGGUGAACGACUCGGAUCAGACCCAGAAGCCCCUUUUAGGUGAUCGAAUCCGAUCCGUAGGAUUUGGAUCCGAUGAUCGGGAUUACAUACCGAUUCACGCGGAUGUUGUUUUAAUCUGGUGCGUACAUCUCAGAUCUGAUGGCCAAUAUCACCCGAUACCCUUUCGCUCUGCUCAUUUACAUAAGAAACCCUAUGAUAUUUGAGAAUGAACCCGCCAUCCGUGGGAGCGGUGCUCUAUGUCUGCAGAUUCUUACCCCUAGACCCCCUAACGUUUCCAGAAAUUGGCGCCCAGUCCAGAGUAGAUUAAAAAUAGUGAAAUAACAUUAGAAAUUCGUUUUUAAUACAAAAAUAAAUCUAUAAACUUGUUUAUUGCAUAGAAAAUUCAUUCUAGCUCCAAAUUGAGCCAUUCCAAUUUCUAAAAUUUUAUAAUAAUAUUCUCUAUCAUUUAGUGUCUCUGUUUAUACAUGAAAACAAUAAAAAAAAAUUUAUCAUUUAAUCCUAUUUUAAGCACAUUAAAUCUUAGAAAAUUCAUAACUUGAAUUCUAUAACUCCAAAUUUAGUGAUUCCAGUUCCUAUGAUUUUAUUUUAAUAUGUAGAUUUUUAUUGUGUAUUUUAUUCACAUGUUUGGUGCAAUGUUAAUUCUUGCUAUACCAUGUAUGUAUUGUGUUGAUACGAGUAGACGAGCAAGCCACUGUAGAUUCUGAGGUUC